CGUGUAGGCGGUUGGUCAAGUCGGAUGUGAAAGCCUGGGGCUCAGCCCCAGAAGUGCAUCCGAAACUAGCCAGCUAGAGCGCGAUAGAGGAGGGUGGAAUUCCUGGUGUAGCGGUGAAAUGCGUAGAUAUCAGGAGGAACACCGGCGGCGAAGGCGGCCCUCUGGAUCGUUGCUGACGCUGAGACGCGAAAGCGUGGGGAGCAAACAGGAUUAGAUACCCUGGUAGUCCACGCCUUAAACGAUGGGUACUAGGUGUUCGGGGUGUUGACCCCCUGAGUGCCGCAGUUAACGCAUUAAGUACCCCGCCUGGGACUACGGCCGCAAGGUUAAA
rnacentral:rRNA from 1 species